AAAAAAUGAUAAUAUUUAAAUUUUUUCUGGAUAACACGAAUAUUAAUAUAGAUUAAUUUCCGGAGUACUAUAAUAUAGACUAUUUGAGUGUGUUUGGCCUUUAAUUAACUUGAGCAGCUGACGGCAUGUGACUUGGUGAAAUGAAAAUUUUAUCGAGAAAGACAAAUGGAAAACAAAAACAAGAAAAAAAUCGAAGAAAAACCCACUGAAGGCGAAACAACGCAAACAA
rnacentral:lncRNA from 1 species